UGGCAGCGCGCUGUUACUGCAGUCUCCAAGGAAACCCUCCGUGCUGCUCCCCCUCGGAAGCUCCGUGUACUCCUGGAGAAGCUGCAAGUGCAGAUGUGAGAGUCCUGACCCGUGCCCAUGAGCUCCAGACCAGGUGGCUGUCGCUGCCUUGGGUGUUUCCUGCAGAUCCCUGGAGGUCUCUGCUGAGGGGAGACCUUGCAUCACUGGCACGUGCCGGGAAGAGAGUUCCAGAGGAGGGUCCCAGUUUGCCAGCUCUGCAGUUGUUAGCAGCACUAAAAUACUCCUGAUUUGGUUGCACAGGAUUCAUGCUUCUGUCUGGAAAAGCAUCUCCCGCACCCUUGCUUGCCUCAGCAAUCCUUCUGGAUGUGGCAGGAUCCCCAAACCACGUGUGGGCACAACGGAGAGUGAGCAGACACUGGACCUCGUGCUCAGCAGGGGGCACUCCAGGAAGGAUUCAGUGCAGCCCUUGUGCUCUCCACCAUGACUUCAGACACCUGGAGCUCAGCCCAG